CGAAUCUCCUUAUUGAAUAUCAUGACAUAAUCGCCUUAUUGACAAUAAUGUCCAAAUCUCCUUAUUGAUAACCAUGACCGAAUUUCCUUAUUGACAAUUAUGUCCGAAUCUCUUAAUUGUAAAUCAUGACCGAAUUUCGUAGUUGACAAUCAUGACCGACCUCAUUAUUCACAAUCAUGUCCAAAUUUCCUUAUUAAUAAUCAUGACCAAAUUUCCUUAUCUCUGUGUUAUCAACAAUCAUGUCCGAAUCUCCUUAUUGAUAAUCAUUCAACUUAUUUAAUGCGUAUUGAUUUUUUUUCUUAUUUUCACACUGUCUCAUAUUCAUAUACGUAAAACCAACAUUUUCUUUAUCUUCCUUAUUGAGAAUCGGGAUCGAAUCUUCUUAUUGCCAAUCCGGACCGAAUCCCUAUUGACAAACAUGUCCAAAUCUCCUUAUUGAUAAUCAUCCCGAAUCUCCUUAUUGACAAUCGGGACCGAAUCUCCUUAUUGACAGUCGGGACCGAAUCUCCUUAUUGACAAUCAUGUCCAAAUCUCCUUAUUGACAAAUAUGUCUAAAUGUCAUUAUUGAUUAUCAUUCCGAAUCUCCUUGUUGACAGUCGGGACCGAAUCUCCUUAUUGACAAUCAUAAACAAAUCUCCUUAUUGACAAUCAUGUCCAAAUCUCCUUAUUGAUAAUCAUCCCGAAUCUCCUUAUUGACUAUCAUGUCCGGAUCUCCUUAUUGACUAUCAUGUCCGGAUCUCCUUAUUGAUAAUCAUGACAAAAGCUCCGUAUUGAUAAUCAUGACCGAAUAUCCUUAUUGAUAAUCAUAUAACGUAUUUGAAGCGAAUUGAUUAUUCUAAUUAUUGUGACAUUGCCUAACUGCCUCAUGUACGUAAUACCAACAUCUUCUUUACUUAAAUUGAAAGUUGUUAUGUUAAUUUUGUCAUUAUGUUGUUGUCUCGUUUACGUGUAACGCAUUUCCUUGCUUAUUUAUACUGAACUUUUUAACAGACAUCUUCAAAUUAAACUGUCUUUGAUAUUAAGUCGGGAUGUUCUCUGAUAUCUCCUUUUAUUUAUACGGAACUGUCAUAAUAUACUUUUUUUCGAUGAGUUGCUGUCUCGAAAACGUAUGACAGACAUUUACUAUUAUUCAUAUGGAACUGUCCUUAGAUCAACUUUUAGAUGAAUUGCUGCCUCAUAACUGUAAUUUGUGGUAUAUCUAUACCAACGAAAUCCACUAAAACUUGUACCCCACGAAUAAUAAUGAAUCCUUAGAAGUUUAAUUUUUCUGUAUAAUCUCGAUAAGAUGUCGUCGAGUCUCGGGUCCAAUACAGCUAAUCUCAAAUCUAUAACAGGGCCAAUACAGAAAUUGUCAGUUAAUAACACUAUAAAUUAAUUUUAAACAGAUCUUAAUUAGAUCACAAAAAAUUAUAUAAUUCAAUUAAAAUAAUAUUUGUAAUCGAGAUCAAGAAAAUGUUGAAUAAGGUUGAAAAAGUCACCCGUCAUGUCUUAUUAUUUAACAUCAUACAGAAAGGCUUCAUUGGAUGAUUUGAAACUAACAAUUCAUUGGUAGACGUGUCAUAAUGCAGAGCCCAUGGGAAGCUCAGUCCAUCUUCACUUGAUAAGAGUUGUCUGUAGUGUUGUCCAUCAGCAGAGAUAACAACCACAUUGCUAGUAUAAAAUCCCACUACAUACACGUUACCAUCAUUGUCUACAGAGAUACCGCGUGGAGAGCGCACAACACUUUUAUCACAGAACGUCCACAGUAUGUGACCAUGGUAAUCACAGCAGGUUACGCUGUCAUUGGAAUUUGUGUAGAACAAUUUGUCACCGAAUGUUGUAACGUACGCAAGACCUGAAAGUUUGGUAUUGUUAACAUUGGUAAUUGUUUCGUCAUUCAGACUGAUCAUCUGUAUUCCUUUCUCUCUGGCACAAUAUAUUAAAUAUCCAUCUUUGUAUGCUACUCCACCAUUAUAUGAAUCAACUUUUAUUGAUUUCGUCUUUGAUUUCUUCUUUAAGUCGAUUAUAUUAAUCUGAUUUGAAUUGCCGGAAGUUACAGCAAUAGAAUCAUCACCAAUAAAUACCACAUCAAACGUUCGACCAAUGUUCUUUAUCUCAAAAUCUUUUGAUCCGUCAGACUUUAGUACUGUUAAUUUAUUGUCCAUAUAGAGGAGAAUACCAUCCGAUCACCAGGAAGCAAUGAACAACCAGAGACAUCUGACAACUUUGUCUUGAUACGUUUCUGUAAUGUCAGAGUCAGGUUAUCGAUAUCUCUGGUUGGAAGAGUGACCAUAAUCUGGGCUUGUCUGUCCUUCCGUUUCUGAAUGGUAAAAUCACAUGGAUCAGAACUGACAUUAAUUUCUCCAAACUUCUGCACGCUGGCUGUUAUUUGUUGCAAAGACUUGUUAAUCUGACAUGAAAUAUUGACUUGAUUUGUGGAGUCACUUGUGGCAAUCGAUUUGAUAAAUUUUUCUUCGCCUAUAAUAUCUUUUUCGAUAUCUUUCAUUGUUAAAAAUGUUUGAAGUUCUGACGCAUGAUUUUUAAUACUGGCAAAGUUUUCUUGUACUUCAGCGAUCUCUUUUUCCUUCUUUUUUAGAGAAGUUAACAAUUUUUCUAUUUUGCUUUUUUCUCUUUGUUCAACUGUCAUUAGUUCUUUAAUCAAGUCAUCCUGAAGUUUAUCAAGGUGAUGAUUAACGUUUAUCCUGGUUUGUUUUAUUGCUGCUUCAAUUUCUCUUUUCUUGUUUUCUAUAGAUUUUAAAUUUUCAUUCCUGUUUGUGCUUAGUGUGUUAUAUAUUCUCGACGACUUCCUGCAGGGUUUGUUCGAUUUCAUUAAAUGCGUUUGAAGUUUUUACGUUUUUUAUGAGUUCAUUUAUGUCAGUUAAACCUUUACAAUCGUUGUGAGAUUUCACACAUUUCUUACAGCAAGGACAAUCGUGUUUUGCACAAAACAGCUCGUAUUUCUCAUUAUGAAGUUUGCAGGUCUGAGAGAUUUGCAGGACUUCGGUGGGUAAGUUUUUGUAUUUGGCGAUAGAAACGGUUUCAUGGUUUUUUGAUGCCUUGGAAACUGCGUGAUGUUUCUUACAAUCUCCACAUAGUCCUUCGUCACAUUCGGAACACCAUACUACUGAAGGUUUGGUAAUCUGAAGGUUUUCACAAAUACCACAAAUACCCCAAUUGGUGGCCAUAAUCCUAAAAUAGAUUGCAUGUACUUACAUGAAUACUGUUGUGUUUUUUUCUAUGGUCGGGUUGUUGUCUCUUUGACACAUUCCCCAUUUCCAUUCUCAAUUUUAUCUAAUAUAUGGUGAAAUGUCUCGCAUACUUAAAGGUUAUAAUUUAAUUUUAUCUUUAAGGCCUUUAAUAUUAGUAUAAAG
rnacentral:lncRNA from 1 species